AGUGAACGCUGGCGGUAGGCCUAACACAUGCAAGUCGAACGGCAGCACAGUAAGAGCUUGCUCUUACGGGUGGCGAGUGGCGGACGGGUGAGGAAUACAUCGGAAUCUACUUUUUCGUGGGGGAUAACGUAGGGAAACUUACGCUAAUACCGCAUACGACCUACGGGUGAAAGCAGGGGAUCUUCGGACCUUGCGCGAUUGAAUGAGCCGAUGUCGGAUUAGCUAGUUGGCGGGGUAAAGGCCCACCAAGGCGACGAUCCGUAGCUGGUCUGAGAGGAUGAUCAGCCACACUGGAACUGAGACACGGUCCAGAAUCCUACGGGAGGCAGCAGUGGGGAAUAUUGGACAAUGGGCGCAAGCCUGAUCCAGCCAUACCGCGUGGGUGAAGAAGGCCUUCGGGUUGUAAAGCCCUUUUGUUGGGAAAGAAAAGAAGCAGGUUAAUACCCCGCUGUUCUGACGGUACCCAAAGAAUAAGCACCGGCUAACUUCGG
rnacentral:rRNA from 1 species